ensembl:lncRNA
CCAGAGGAGACCAGAGACCAGAGGAAUCCAGAGGAGACCAGAUACCAGAGGUGACCAGAGACCAGAGGAGACCGGAGACCAGAGGAGACCAGAGACCAGAGGAGACCAGAGACCAGAGGAGACCAGAGGAGACCAGAGGAAACCGGAGGAGACCGGAGACCAGAGGAGACCAGAGGAGACCGGGGACCAGAGGAGACCAGAGACCAGAGGAGACCAGAGGAGACCAGAGACCAGAGGAGACCGGAGACCAGAGGAGACCAGAGGAGACCAGAGACCAGAGGAAUCCAGAGACCAGAGGUGACCAGAGACCAGAGGAGACCAGAGACCAGAGGAGACCGGAGACCAGAAGAGACCGGAGGAGACCGGGGACCAGAGGAGACCAGAGACCAGAAGAGACCGGGGACCAGAGGUGACCAGAGGAGACCAGAGACCAGAGGUGACCAGAGACCAGAGGAGACCAGAGGUUACCCAGCAGGUCUGAAGGAGUACACCAGAGACCCUGUGGCUUACUGACCUUUGCUGCUGAUGGCGGAGGAGUCUGAGAAGUGCCUCUUGAAUGUUGCAUGAUGGGAGUUUCCUGAGGGUCUGGAGGUCACCGUCUGCGGGCGGAAUGUCCCGGGAGCGUCUCUGAGGUGACGUGGUCCAACAUGGCUGCCGGGAUGGCUCUGAGAGAGAGCUGAUUGGUCGGCUGUGACCCCAGCGCCCUUCGUCUGGGCGUCCCCCCCCUGGCCGCUCGCAGCCCUCCCGCCGGCCACCGGGGCCGAGUUAGUGCGCCUGUACCCGCACGCCAGCGGCUGGCCCGCGCCCCGCGGGGGGGCGGGCCCGAUGGCCACUGGCGUGGUGGAGAGGCCCCGCCCACGGGCGGGCGUGCUGGGGUGACCCCGCCCGCAGGGAGGGGCCUGAGGGGCCGAGGAGGGCUGGCUGUUGGAGAACUUCUCUACGUCCUCACACACCUGGAGCAGCAGCUGGUCGUCUCCGCCCUCGUCCCACCAGCCGUCCGGGGCCCCGGGGCCCUGGACCGCCGCGCUCGACUGAGGCUUCACCGUGGUUACCGGCUUCACCGUGGUUACCGGCUUCACCGUGGUUACUGGUGUCACCAUUGUUAGCGCCAUCACCGUGGUAACGGGCUGCCUUUUGACAGGUUGAACUGCCUGCAGGUGCUCUGACCUGUGAUUGGUCAAGGCGGGGGGGGCCAAGCACUCUGACCCUUGAUUCGUCAAGGCGGGGGGCCAGGCGCUCUGACCCGUGAUUGGUCGAGGCGGGGGGGCAGGCGCUCUGACCUGUGAUUGAUUGAGGCGGGGGGUGCCAGACACCUUGGGUUGGGCUCCAGUCUGAAGGUGCUGCGCUGGGGGGUCCUGGGUCCGGGACAGCCGCCCCUGGGUCCGGGAGUCCUCCCCUGGGGUGGGCAGGAGGAGUCGACCCCCGGGGGAGCCCCUGAGGUCGUGGCAACCACCAGCGAGUCGUUCAUCAGGUCAUCGUCCUCCCAGUCGUCCUCAAAGUCAUCCUCAAAAUCCUGGACCACCGGCCCCGGGCCCCGGACCGCCACCCCCGGGGGCCGGUCUGAGGGCCUGAGGGGUCCCUGGCUCAGGGGCCCGCUGAGGGCCCCUUGGCUGAGGGCUCCCUGGCUGAGGGGCCCACUGACCCCCUUUCUGAGGGGCCCGCUGAACCCCUGACUGAGGGGCCCCUCGCUGAGGGUCCCCUGGCUCAGGGCCCCACUGACCUUCUGGGUGGAGCUGUCGAACAGCGCCCGGAGCUCCGCCUCCACCCGCUGCGACUCAGAGGGGGGGGGAAGCGGAGGGGGGGUUGCGGCCAGGUUGCUGGUGGAACGGGGGUCAUCAGCCAGGUCGCCGUGGGGACGAGGGGCGGCGGCCAGGUCGCCGUGGGGACGCCGGGCAGCGGCCAGGUAACCGUGGGGACGGGGGUCAUCAGCCAGGUCGCCGUGGGGACGUAGGGCAGCGGCCAGGUCGCCGUGGGGACGUGGGGCAGCGGCCAGAUCGCCGUGGGGACGUGGGGCAGCGGCCAGGUCGCCGUGGGGACGUGGGGCAGCGGUCAGGUCGUCGUGGAGACGAGGGGCGGCGGCCAGGUCGUCGGAGCGCUCCAUGUUCCGGUCGAAGGCUCGGGCCAGCUCCACCAGGCCGUCCACACUGCUCUGCCUGGGGAGAGAGACACAUCAGGACCCCCAUUAGAUACUAGUUAUAGCUCGAUUAGGAAUCAGACCUGCCCAGGAGGAGGGUGGGGUCCUGCCCCAGGAGGACUAGAGGUAGACUCUGACCUGACUGAGCGCCUGCGGGCGCGGUGCGUCCGGGGCUCGGGGGUGCAGGACACCCCGCAGUCGCCCAUCCACUGCAAGAGGGGCGACGGCGCCGGCCGGACGUCCUGCGGGCAUCGGACACACGGCCGUUAGACCAGCCACCAUGACACCUUCACUGCCCAGAGGCGGCCUGACGCUAGGCGGUGUAAUGCUAGGCGCGGUGUGACGCUAGGCGGUGUAAUGCUAGGCGCGGUGUGACGCUAGGCGGUGUAAUGCUAGGCGCGGUGUGACGCUAGGCGGUGUAAUGCUAGGCGUGGUGUGACGCUAGGCGGUGUGUGAUGCUAGGCGGUGUGUGAUGCUAGGCGGUGUGUGAUGCUAGGCAGUGUGUGAUGCUAGGCAGUGUGAUGCUAGGUGUCGUGAUAUUAGGUGGGGUGUGAUGCUAGGCGUGUGUACAUUAGGCAGCGUGAUGCUAGGCGUGUGUGACACUAGACGUGUGGUGCUAGGCAGCGUGACUCUAGACAGUGUUACGCUAGGCAGCGUGACACUAGGCAGUGUGUGAUGCUAGGCGGUGUGACGCUAGGCAGCGUGACUCUAGGCGGUGUGAAGCUAGGCGUGCUGUGAUGCUAGGCGGUGUUGAUGCUAGACGCGGAGUGAUGCUAGGCGGUGUGUGAUGCUAGGCGGUGUGUGAUGCUAGGCGGUGUGUGAUGCUAGGCGGUGUGUGAGGCGAACCCGGUGGACGGUAGCUGUACCGACCUUGGGGGGCGAUGCGGUUCACUAUGUCGGAUAUCUUCACCAUCCUGGUGGUCCUGGAACCCCCGCCUGGAAACACAUGAUAGCAGCUGAUCGUACAGGCUUCAUUACAGCACCAGCAUUCUGUCCCACCCCCCUGUGAGUGAGGGUACGUACUGGGGCCGGGCUGGGUGGGGGAGGUGGGGUCCCAGAUGAUGUCCUGGGUGACCUCGUCCCCCGGGAGAGUCCCCGCUAGUCAAGACCGAGUAGCGGUCGCAGGUCCAUCGUCUGGGGGUCUGCACGGCUGAGACAGAACACUCAGUCUCCUGGUACAGUACUAUUCUUCUGGUUUAGUGCUAGUCUCCUGGUACAAUAUUAAUCUUCUGAUUUAAU